AGAGUUUGAUCAUGGCUCAGGAUGAACGCUAGCUACAGGCCUAACACAUGCAAGUCGAGGGGCAGCAUGAACUCAGCUUGCUAAGUUUGAUGGCGACCGGCGCACGGGUGAGUAACACGUAUCCAACCUUCCGUUUACUCAGGGAUAGCCUUUCGAAAGAAAGAUUAAUACCUGAUAGUAUGGUGAGAUUGCAUGAUAGCACCAUUAAAGAUUUAUUGGUAAACGAUGGGGAUGCG
rnacentral:rRNA from 1 species